rnacentral:tRNA from 4 species
GGGCGCUUGGCUUAGUGGUAAAGCGCUCCCUUAGCAUGGGAGAGGUCCAGGGUUCGAUUCCCUGAGUGUCCA